AUUGCCGUUGGCGAUGAGGCUCGCCAGGGGCCGGAGUGGCGGCCCCGAACAACUGUCGGUGAACGACUGAUAGCCUCUACCUUGUG
rnacentral:ncRNA from 2 species